rnacentral:lncRNA from 1 species
CCCCACUCUGUAGAGUGCUGUUUGUGAGGCAGAAUAAGGAUAUCCCCCCACAUUUAGGAUUCUUAGCAGUAGGAUUUUCCCUAGUGGUGUGUGGAGGAGAAUUCUGAUUUCUCGUUACUAGGAAAUAGAGGUACAGCUGAGACACAAUGAAACUUGAAGGUCAAGGUUUGGGGGAAAAGCAUGGAAUAGCGAAUUGAGACCUGGCUGACUCAGAGUCCUUUCUCCUUUUCAGGUGUACGUAUUCUUUGGAUCACAUCUCCCAAAAAACCAUGAGACUUUCAAGGUGACAUGUGCCUUCUUUGCACUGAAACCCAGAAUAUUGAGUGUGAUGCUAUUAACCAAAGCCCCUGGACUGAAGAAAGUGUUCUCUUGUGCACAGUGCACGGAAAUGGCAAGGAGUGGAUUGGAGGAGCUGUUCCCCGCAUCUUUCAAAGAAAAUACUUGAAGAAUCUUUCAAAGAUACUUAUGGGACAGUGAAACAAAUUAAUUCCAAAGAAAGCGAGAAAAUACGGCAAAGGGUGAAGACAAGUAGAAAAGACAGAUAGAAGCAAGAUUGGGUGAGGACUCAAAACAUCAGUUAUAAAGUUGCAUGUGCUGUUUCCCCAGGAACCGUAUCCUUCCGUGUUAUCCAGCAGGCACUGCAAAGAGGGCACGUGUGCACUUGUGGGACUCAGAGUUGCUAACACACAGUAGAAUUGCACAGAAGGAUGACCCGAGAGAGAUUUUCCUGUGGUUCCCAAGGAGAAGGGAAGGAAGAAGGGAACACUGGAUAACGUGAAAACCGUCAUCUCCACAGCUCUUCUUGGUCCCUUGAAAUACGAGAGCAGAGUUUCAUAAGGAUUUAAAGAAUCACAUCCUGAGGAUUCUAAUGCUACUUCUGUUAGUCAAUUCCUUAUAACAUGAACAUUUCUUUUGGUUCAGUCAUGGCCAUGCCCAGAUGCCUGUAACAGCUGCCUGGCUGAUCUUUCCUAGAACACUCCCACCUCAUCCAGCCUAGCCUAACUGGCUUGAUGAGCCCUGCCAGGCUGAUCUUCCUAAGGGACCACUUUAAGCCAAUUGCUCCCUGGCUCAAGGUUCUCCAGUAGUUACUUACUGUCUGCUGCACAUUCAAGGUCAAGUUUUCUACUGCAAUGAUGCCUCUCAACUUGCUCUGCUGGUGUCUCACAGCAGAGUGAGGAGAGAACUUGAAGAAGGAAGAUUAGCCCAGGAGUUUCAAAAGCUUCAGAGAGGCAGAGGAAAAUGAGAGCUUAGAGAGGCCCACGGAUUUAGUGACUAGGAGAUCACAGAGUGAUCUUCAAGAGAGCAUUUUCUGAAAAAUGGCUGGAGGUGAAAUUAGACCUAAGUUUAGGACCAUAAUGUUUAACACUUAAACACUCUUUUCUUAUUUUAUGUAGGUUUUAACUUUGAGAUCCCAGUGCCUGGAUUCCAGGCCCAGACGUGUCUCUUGGUACUUUGGACAAGUUACGUAACCUGGCUAUGCCUCAGUUUCCUCGUCUGUAAAAUGAGGGUAAUGUAAUCGUAUCUCCCUAGAAGGUACUUUGGGGAGACUGAGUGAGCCUCACAGAGGAGGGUCUGUGUCAGGUCUAGCUGUCAGCUGCCCUCCCCCCAUUGAAGUCAAUGCCCCUCUGUGCCUAGUAUAGCCGUUCUUCGUGCUUACUACGGCCUGCCUUUCUUCUACUUUCUAAAAAUGUUCUCCUACUCUUUGCCAAUAAAUCUCUGAAAAGAACAUUUUUAAAGAGUAAA